UACGUAGGGUGCAAGCGUUGUCCGGAAUUAUUGGGCGUAAAGAGCUCGUAGGCGGUCUGUCGCGUCGGCUGUGAAAACUCGGGGCUCAACCCCGAGCCUGCAGUCGAUACGGGCAGACUAGAGUGAUGUAGGGGAGACUGGAAUUCCUGGUGUAGCGGUGAAAUGCGCAGAUAUCAGGAGGAACACCGAUGGCGAAGGCAGGUCUCUGGGCGAUUAACUGACGCUGAGGAGCGAAAGCAUGGGGAGCGAA
rnacentral:rRNA from 1 species